AAUCUAUACGGAAGCGUUUUCCGCGCCGGACCGUGUAUAAGUCUCCUGGAACGGAGUAUCAAAGAGGGUGACAAUCCCGUGCUUUACACGACGACCGGUGCUAUGUGAUACGUUCUCUACGAGUCGAGUUGUUUGGGAAUGCAGCUCAAAACGGGUGGUAAACUCCAUCUAAAGCUAAAUAUUGGUGGGAGACCGAUAGCGAACAAGUACCGUGAGGGAAAGAUGAAAAGCACUUUGGAAAGAGAGUUAAACAGUAUGUGAAAUUGUUGAAAGGGAAACGAUUGAAGUCAGUCGUGUCCAUUGGGUUCAGCCGGUCCUGCCGGUCUACUCCCUUUGGACGGGUCAACAUCAGUUCUGACCGGCGGAUAAUGGCACGAGGAACGUGGCACCCUCCGGGGUGUGUUAUAGCCUCGCGUCGCAUACGCUGGUCGG
rnacentral:rRNA from 1 species